AAAGAAGUUGGGUUCUGCCAUGUUCAUUCUUGCAGAUUUCGGUAGAUACCCGCUUGAAAUUGCAAAUCUUGGGAAGGAUAUAAUAGCUCCUUACAAGCAUGUUGUGAGGACAAUUCCAAGUGGUAAAUCAGCUCAGUUUGACGAGCGUCCCAUUUUGGUGUUUUUCCAAGGAGCAAUAUAUAGGAAGGAUGGAGGAGUCAUUCGCCAAGAACUGUAUUACCUUCUGAGAGAUGAG
rnacentral:misc_RNA from 1 species